rnacentral:rRNA from 1 species
CCUACGGGGGGCAGCAGUGGGGAAUAUUGGGCAAUGGGCGAAAGCCUGACCCAGCAACGCCGCGUGAAGGAAGAAGGCUUUCGGGUUGUAAACUUCUUUUGACAGGGAAGAGCAGAAGACGGUACCUGUCGAAUAAGCCACGGCUAACUCCGUGCCAGCAGCCGCGGUAAUACGUAGGUGGCAAGCGUUGUCCGGAUUUACUGGGUGGAAAGGGCGGGUAGCCGGGCUGACCAGUCAGAUGGGAAAUCCGGGGGCUCAACCGCAGAACUGCAUUUGAAACUGUUGAUCUUGAGUACUGGAGAGGCAGACGGAAUUCCUAGUGUAGCGGUGAAAUGCGUAGAUAUUAGGAGGAACACCAGUGGCGAAGGCGGUCUGCUGGACAGCAACUGACGGUGAGGCGCGAAAGCGUGGGGAGCAAACAGGAUUAGAUACCCUUGUAGUC